rnacentral:lncRNA from 1 species
GGAUGCUGGUAGACACAGGAAUCCCACCAAGGAUGACACUUCCUCUGGCUCUCCAAUGCGUCCCAUUGGAGUUCGAGAGAUGAUAUUCUCUGAAAACUUUUGAAUGUACUGCAAGCAAGGAGGACAACAAGUAUAGAUACUGCUAAUUAACAACACUUAAAACGUAAUACAGUUUGAGGAACAAAAACUUGCAUGCUGUAGUGUAGCCUUUCCAGCAUUUAUGAGUUCUUGCCAUAUACUUUUUAAUAAUAUGAAAAUCCUAGCAACCAAUAUACUUAUUUGUUGUGAUUUACUUCAUAAUUCUCCUUGGAUAUCCUUUUUGAUUACUCUGAAUGAUAUGAUCAUGCUGAUAAACUUAAAGACUACAAGCAUGGGAGGAAAAAUAUAUAUAUUUUACAUCUUCAGUAAGGGGAGUUCGGAUGAACCAAGGUGCAACAGAGUUGACCCUUAUGUUGUCCUUUGCCCACUCACAUGCCAAGUAUUUUGCAAGGUGGUUCAUGGCUCCUGCAAAUAAUGGAAUGGCAACCUAAAUUCUCAAUCUUGAACGAUUACUCAACUAUAUGCUUGCAAUAAAGGUUUCAUUUGCCAGGAAAAUUAUAUAUAUAUACACGCACAUACCUUUUGUUGCUCCAUAUAAAGAUCCAAAACUUACUGAUACCACACCAGCAAUCGAAGAGAGAAAAACAAUGCUUCCUGCCCCUGAAGCUUUCAAAAGAGGAUAGGCAAGUUGACAAGUUGUAAGCAGACUCAAAAUUGGUCCCCAUCAUAAAUGAGAAAUCUUCAGUGGUGAUGUCUGGAGUCGGCUUUAAAAUAGCUGUCCCCACAUUGUUAAUCUAUAGCCACACCAAUUUGGCAUUUAUAUUGAUAUUUGAGGAUACUAGUUUGGCAUUGUUGCAAUCACAAAUGUCGUCUCAUUAGCAAAACUCAGGAGUCGAGACACUAUGCAGAAUGAGAGUUUGAUGAACUUCCAAAAAAUAAAGUGAAAAAAAAAAAGGGGGGGGGGGGAAGGAAGGAGAGUAAAGAGAAUGCUUAAGAGCAGCAAAGUGAAGAAAAAAUAGAACAACUUCUUCAUUCAUAUCAGUUUGCUACUUAAAGCUUAAGUACAGGGAAUAAAAAGAGAACCAUAAGACAUGAAAUUAGAAACUGAAAACUACCCACUAAGUAAACUCAAUAGAUAACUGAUCCAUAAUUCUAAGUGGUAGACUAACAUGUGCCAAGUAGGAUAACCAACAGUAACUGACUGCAACAUAAAAAAUAAGACUAAACUUAAAUGAGUCUUAUGCACCAGCAUGUAGUAUCUGCUGGUUGCUCAGAUAAACACUAGCAAUGGUUAAAGAGAUGCAUUCCAACUUCAACAGAGUUACCAGAAAAAGAAAAGAAUCAGAAUGGAUGUUUACUUACCAGGAUGUUGAGUUUUCCUCCAAAUUCAGAGGAGACUGUUUAUUAGCUUCUCUCUUUGGGCCUGCGAUGAUACAUCACAGACUGAACCAGUAACCUGGAAACCCUUCGCUGCCCAGUCAAGUAAGCAUUUGUUGAGGUCCGUUUCAGUCCGGGAGCAUGUGUGUAUUCUUGCUCUCAGUCCAGCUAAUUCCUCUAUGAUAGCAUGCCUGGUUGCAGUAUUAAUUUGUGAUGAGUAAAAUAUUAGCUCCGUCUUGGCAUAAUCCAAGGAAAAGUAAAUUAAUGUCUUCACAUCAGCAUGUUAAUUGUAAUAUAAGCCUUUAACAAUUUCCCCUAGAAUCCAAUAAAUGAAAUCAAAAUCGUCUUGGUGAACCGACCAUCACAGUCACUUUUAGCAACACAAAAAUCUAAUUCCUGUUUUUCCUUGAUUUACAAAAUCUUUUAUCGAAUAUAAUGAUCUAAUCACCAAAACAGAUCACUUCAUCACUUCAUACCAAGCGCCCCUAGUUAAAAAGUCGCAUCUAAUUAAAAUGUAUAAACAACAAAGCACAAGUUUUUAUUUAUUGUUUUUGUUUUUGUUCCAGAACCUGUCUCAGGAUUUUAUUAACUUACUCAAUCCACAUAAUGCUUUAUCGCAUUCAGAACUGUAUAGUUCUGGGUAUACAUAAAAGGUUUUGUCAUUGUCAAUAAACAUAUAACUAAUUCUUAAGUUGUUGUACCUAAGUGAAUAGUCAAUGAGGGAAGUAAAGGAGAAGACAAUGUCAAUGGCCUGAUAUAUAUGAACCGUCCCCCAAUUUCGAGUAUAUUAUAUAUUGAAAGGUAAAGCAGCAAGAAACGAGGUGUAGUAUCAAAUUAACAAAAGCAGAAGGUAAAAAGAAAGAGAGGGAGAAGAGAGAAAGAGAACCCGAUUCCUUUGGUUCCACCAGUAACAAGUGCAGUCAUGCCUUGAAGACUCCAUCUGUUGUCCUUCCUAGAGUUAUCUGAUUGAGCCAUUCUUACUUCCAUCUGUUGUCCUUCCUAGAGUUAUCUGCUUAAGCCAUUCUUACUUCUCUCUCUCUCGGCUUGUAGUUGAGAUAUAUUAAGUAUAUAUAGACAGUUUCUUCCCACGUAGGUCAUUGCUGACAAAAGAUUCAAUAGGAAAUUAAAUGGGGAAAGGACAGCAGUUGAGUAGUUGUUUCCAUAAUGUGGUCACAAUGAGUGGCAAUUUUAAACAAAUAAUAUAUUAAUGAAAAAUUGGAUAGAUUCUAAUAGUACUUGCUAUUUUAAUUCAAAAAACGUGUUUAGUAAGUUAAAAGAAGAUUUACGAGCUUGCCCUGUGAAAUGAGUGUGGAAUCAUUUUUCAAGGUACCAUUCAGAUUUGGUUGCUCGUUUCAACAAAGCCCAAAAUAUGCAAAUACGGUUUAUAGAGGAUCAAAGUUACAUACAUGCUGGGUUUCUUUGUUUAGGCAUAAAAACAAAGUUCAGGCAUAUGAAUGGGCUUGAACUAGCCUUCUCAGGCUCUGGCCUUGGCCGACCCAUGACACGUCUAGUUGAAAGGAGUCUUAUUGUAAGAGUCUUAUACAUGGCAAAUUGCGAAGUGGGGUGGGUGGUGUUCAAUUUCUUUUCAAGCUAUGUUUGAUGGGAAGAAGAGGCCGUUCAGUGUGAUCCCUCCAUCAACGUAAAUAAUCUGCCCUGUUAUAUAAGAAGCUGCAGGCAGGCAGAGAAAUGCCACCAAUGACGAGACUUCCUUUGGCUCUCCGGCGCGUCCCAUCGGAAUCUUAGUGAUGAAAGCCUCAAGUGCUUUUUCAUCAUGAAAAACCUACAAAGGAGAACGGAAAACAAUCGUAAUCAGCUCUUUCAAAAUUGGAGAAUGUGGAGUAAAGUAUGCUUUGACGAAGCUUUCCCAGUUUUCUAGCAAGGACAAUGUAGCAUUUGGUCUGCUAAUGUUAGGUUGGCCUGUUGCCUCUUCUGCUAAAUAGCAUUUUUCUAAGUUCUUGUCAUGGUGCUAAAGUGAUCCCACAUGUUCAUCUUUUCUCCAACAAAAUCACUUUUAUUUUUAUAUUGGACGAUAUUCGUGCUGGCUAAGUCCUAUUAUGAUCAUGCUGAAUGAUGAUAAGCCUAGGGAAAGCUAUUUACAGGUUCAGCAAGGGGAGUUCUGAUCAGUGAAGGUGCAACAGCGUUGACCCUAAUAUUAUCUCCCGCCCACUCACAUGCAAGGUGUUUUGCAAGCUGGUUCAUGGCCCCUGAAACAGAUACAUGAUAUUCAGGGAAAUGGCAAAAAAUUUAAGGUCAAACCUUCAAUUUCGAAAUGAAUUUGUGCAUAUAUACUUGCAGUAGAGGUAGUAUAUCAGGCAAGAGAGUUACCUUUGGUUGCUCCAUAUGUAGGCAAAGUUCUUACUGGUGUUAGGCCAGCAAUUGAAGAGAGAAGCACAAUGCUUCCUGCCCCUGAAGCUUUCAGAAGAGGAUGUGCAAGUAGGCUCAAGUUAUGAGCUGAUUCAAAAUUGGUACCCAUGAGAAAUGAAACUUCUUCAGCCGUUUCCUCUGAAAUCGGCUUUGCAACAAUGGUUCCCACAUUGUUUAUCUGCAGUCGCACCAAACAUCAGAACCACGAAUUUCACAAAAACUCAAGAAAUUAUGACACCCAGUAAUUUUGGAAGGAAGUAGGAAAGCAGAUGAUGAUAAUCACCAGGAUGUCAAGUUUCCCGUUGAAUACAGAGGAGGCAGUGUUAAUUAGCUUUUCCCCUUGGGCCUUAGACGAAACAUCACAGGCUGAACCAGUAACUUGGAAGCCCUUUGCUUGCCAUUCAAGUAAGCACUUGUUGAGCUCGGUUUCGGUUCGGGAGCAUGUAUGAAUUCUUGCUCCUAGUCCCGCUAGUUCCUCUACGAUAGCAUGCCUGAUUGCAGUACUUGGUGUCAGUCAAACAGCAGGUAAAGGAGCAAAACAGUCCCCAAUAUCAAGAAUAAAGCAGCAACAAAGGGCUGUGGUCUUUGAAUAUAUAAAAAAUGUUAUAUAUUUUCAUGUAAAAAAGUCCAAGAAUCAAAAGAGAGAGAGAGGGGGAAGAGAGAAAAAGAACCCGAUUCCUUUGGUUCCACCAGUAACAAGGGCAGUCAUGCCAUGCAGACUCCAUCUGUUAUCCUUGCUAGAGCUAUCUGCUUCAGCCAUUCUUACUUCUCUGUCUGCCUCUUCCUUUGUCUGCUUGCAGUUGAGAUAUAUUAUGUGUGGCACAUAGUUGCCUUCCCACAUUCGCCAUUGGUACAAAAGAUUCCAUAGGAAAUUAAAUGGGAGAAAAGGACAGCAGUUAAGUAGUUUUGGUUCCACACGGCAGUCACAAUGUAUGGACAAGGGCUAUAGUCAAUAAAGAAUAAGAUACCGUUGUCCAUAUCCCAUUGUGCUUGGUAAUACCAAUAGCCAUUAGACCUUGCUUUUAAUUAGCUCUCCUUCAUAAUUAUUUAGGUGCAUAAGGCAUUACUAAUUACUCAACAAUUAGGGAGGUAGUUGAUUUUCUUUUUCAUCCAUGUUUAAGGAGUAAUAACAGAAUAAUUAACCAACCAUUGGUCAAGUUUUUAUUGUUUAGAUAAAUGUUUGACAAAAAUCAUAUGAAAAAUUAUCACCUAGGAAAGUGGUUGCUCCAAUCACUGAAUUUAUUAUUAUACUACCUGUAGGGAUGAGCAAACCAAACUAGAUUAAUUAUCCACUCAAAUCAAAUACAAUUUUGAUAAAAUGGUUUGGUCUAAUUGGUUCAUUAAAUUAAUUGGUUCAAAAUGUUUGGUCCAAUUGAUUUUUUUGGUUGGUUUUUGGUUUUAAAAUUUUUGAACCAAUCCACUCAAAAAAUACGCUAAUUAUAUAUAUAUAUAUUAAUAUAUAAAAUAUAUUUUUAUAUAUAUAUAUANAAAGUGGUUGCUCCAAUCACUGAAUUUAUUAUUAUACUACCUGUAGGGAUGAGCAAACCAAACUAGAUUAAUUAUCCACUCAAAUCAAAUACAAUUUUGAUAAAAUGGUUUGGUCUAAUUAUAUCAUUGGAUCAAUUGAUCUAAAAUGUUUAGUCUAAUUAGUUUUUUGGUCAGUUCUUGGAUUUAAAAUUUUUGAACCAAUCCACUCAAAAAAUACGCUAAUUAUAUAUAUAUAUAUUAAUAUAUAAAAUAUAUUUUUAUAUAUAUUAAGAAAAUGGAUAAUAAACUUAAUUAAUAAUGUCACGAUCCAAAUCGGGGAGCUGUCAUUGAUGCACGAGCCCAGCAGGCAAAACCCACGAGAUCUUAGCAAGUGUACAAAAUUUUGGAUCAAAUUAGAACAUAUAACACAUAGCCAAGGGUUUUCCACAAUUGUAUAUUCAUAAUAUAAUUUAAAUUCAAAUACAUGUCAAUUACCCCUUGGUGUCAUGGGCCAAAAUUUAAGCUCAACCUCGUGUGACCUUGAAUUCUGAAAAUAAAACUUAAGUAAGCCUAUAAAUCAUGAACCCAUAUUCUCAACCCAAAAGACAUGCCUAAUAGGUGGUGGAAGAUCCAUGUUUAUAUAUCCAAGACCCACUUCAUCUCUUAUUGAUGUGAGAUCCAUGACAUUUUACCCCACCUAAUUAUGUAAUACUUUUGUUGCACUGGCUCUUUACUUGUAGAGGAGAGGGACUCUUACUCUAAUUCAGGUCUACCUUGACCCUUAUAUCUCUCAUGGGGGCCCACAUUAGUGAAUAUCUGAGUUUGCUUUGAUACCACUUGUCACAAGCCGGAACUUAAGCCCACCCUCUUUACCCGUAGAGGAGAGAGACUCUUACGCUAGUUCGGGUCUACCUUGAUCUUUGUAUCUCUCAUGGGGGCUUACAUUAGUGAAUAUCUGAGUUUGCUUUGACACCACUUGUCAUAAGCCGAAACUUAAGCCCAACCCCAUAUGGUCUUAAACUUUAAAAAUAGAGCUUAAGUAAGCCUAUAAAUCAUAGAUCCAUGUUUCUAAUCCAAAAGACAUGCUUGAUAGGUGAUGAAAGACCCAUGUUUAUAUACUCAAGACUCACCUCAUCUCUUACUGAUGUGAGAUCCGCGACAUUGGCACAUAGUUCAUGCUGUUUCUGAACCUACACAAGCCAUACAUUGGCUAACAAGGUGGUUGGUCUCAUACAACUCUUAAUACAAUAAUAACAUAAAUUGACAUGAUGCCAAUACAUGCUGAAAGCUAAUUCUGAAGUGGAAAACCCAUAGUCAAACAUAGCAGGGUUGAUAUAUCAAAAUGGAGACUUACCAAAUGCCAAAAUUGGUUUGUUAAAUGAUGGCCCUAGCCACACACUGCCCAAUGACUUAUUUAUCUGCACAUGCUACAAUAAAAGGGUGAAUUAUCUAAUAGUAAGAGGUGCAAACAACUCAAAUAUAUUGGUAUAGAUAGUCAUACACACACACACACACACACACACACAUAUUACACCAUCAUGCAUACAAAAUGUUCUAACAAACAUUUCCAAUAUUAGGGGUAUAUCAUUCAUCCUUAAGAGUAUUCCAUAAAUUUCUCAAAUCAUAUGGAUACCAUUAUAUGUCCGUAAAUAAUGCAUAUCAAAUUAGGCUUAUUUAUGAAGCCAUUACAAAUUUGAUCUUCAUAGGCACACCAUAUUUGCCAAUGUGUCAUAUUAAAUUCAAAUUUAUCUCUAUUUACUCGAGGUCAUAACAUAUCACUCAUAUUUCAAAUCAUAAUCAUAGAGUGAUCAUUCUUGGACAUAAUCAAAUCACACAUGUUGGCUAAUCGACAGAGUUAAAUCACGUUCAAGUUUAAGUCGUUGGUGGAGCAUUAAAUCACGCACGUGCCGAAGCAAUGGGCAGAGGAUCAGAUCACGCUUGGAGUUGAAACAUUCGGUGGAGAACAGAUCAUGCUCAAUGUUGAAACAAUUGACGAAGAAUCAAAGUCAUCAUUUAAAGGUACUCGACAAAUGGCAUCAAGUGGGACUAAUACCACUAUCCCUUUAGGCAUAGAACAAAGUCACAACAAUAGGACUCCACUCAACCUUAAAUCAAACCAACGUCCGAAAUUCUCCUCAUCGAACGGAAUAUAAAUCCACAAUCAAGGCCAUCAUGCCUUUGAUAUCACAUAUAUCCACCAUUUCACAUCAAAGAUUAUUCUUAAUGAAUUUCAAAUAUUAUCUAGCUCAAUACCAUUUCUAAGUGCUCUCGAUUCUCCAAGGCAUCAGAUAUUCAUAAUCCUCUAAGAGGUUAAUUGUCUAGAGUAACUAUUCCUAGACAUUCCUCAUAAUUCACUAGACUUCCUAGUCAAGGCUCAAACAUACACCGCUAUCCACCACUAUGUGGCUUGCGCUAUGGCACACACAUACACAACAUUUAUAUCAUAUAUAUAUAUAUAAUUUAUUAAUUUAGACACAUCCAUCUAGGCAUUUAUAUAUGUACAUAAUAUUUUCGUACCAUGGUAGUGCAUCAUUCAAUGCGUGAUGCAUGACAUCCAUUUUAUUUAACAAAUAAACCCACUCACAAUAACAGUCGAAGGCACUUUUUCAUAACCAAGCUCAACUUCUAGCCUCCAGCCAUUGCCUAGCUCACCAAUAAGUCAAUAGGUUCAAUUUCCUCUUGAACAAAUCAAAAUAAUAAUUAUUUCCUAGCUUUCAAAUUUUUCAACUUUUCAAAAAUAAGCUUUAUUCUAACUUUUCAUUGUUAUAAAACCUAUGUUCCAAAUCUAAAGUUUAAAAGGCUUAAAUCCUUACCUUAAAUGUUAGAUUACCCAAAUCUUAACUCCAAAUCUCCAGCAAAAUCAAGGGAGAAUUAUACCUGCGCUAAAAUGAAUGGGUUUCAAAAUUCUAAAUCAAUUAAAUCAAAAAUCAAUUGGUAAAAAUGCUUAACCUUACCUCUAGAGUGGCUUUCCAAGCUUUAAUCCACUUUAAUUGAGCCUAAAAAUCAAGUUGGGGCCCUAGGGUUUUGGUGGGUGGAGAGAGAAAGGGGUUUGGGUUUUGUUUUAAAUUGAAUGGAAUGCUAAGACCCUUUUUAUUUUUGCAAUUAUAUAGGGAUGUAUUGAUACAUUUGCACAAUUUUCCUUCAAAUCUAUCAAUACAUGGAGUCAUGUAUCGAUAGUAUCGUUAGAUUUCAAACAGAAUGCUUUCUGCCUGAAAUCUAUCGAUGAUUUGAGAAUCUAUCGAUACUUUUUCCAUUGAAUGCCUCCUAUUUCAGAUCUAUUGAUACAUUUGAACAAUGUAUCGAUAGAUGUUCAUCUUAGUUCAAAUCUAUCAAUACAUUCUUUGAAUUUAUUGAUACAUUUGAACAAUGUAUCGAUAGAUGUUCAUCUUAGUUCAAAUCUAUCAAUACAUUCUUUGAAUUUAUUGAUAGAAAAUGUCUAGAUUGCUUCAUAUUAUUUUUCCAGCCAAGAAUGUAUCAAUACACUUUCCCUUAUAUAGACAUUUUCAACACUCCAACUUAAAAAAAUCCAAAUCUUAACAUCCCAAAUCAUUCCUUGUUUAAAUCACACCUUAAACAACUAGUAUAACUCAUAAUUCUUAUACAUAUAUUCUCAAAUAUAAGAUCAAAUCUCAAACUUUAAGCUUCAUCAUAUAUGACUCUCGAGUAAAAAGAAAGAGUGAGAAAGCAAAGAAUAAAUGAGUAGCCACACAAAUAUGAUUGACAAUUAAUGUCUGAAAAUACGACAACAGGAAUAGAAAGCAGGGAAAUGACAAGUAACAAAUUAGCAAAUAUGAUCCUAUAUGCUGCUGUGCCACAAUAACAUGACUGAAAGUGAUAGUGAAGAUCAUCAAUUAUUAUAUUUUAAAAGUUACAGAUAUAGAUUGUAGAUUAUACUUUAAUCUCUUUAUAAACAUGUGAAAUUUUACGAAAAUGUAAAUGAAUAUAAUUGUCUUUCUUUACUUUUAUUUUUUAAGUAGUUAAUUGAUACUUUUCAACUUUUUUUUUAGAUAGACAUUUCAUUUCAACGAAGAGAAAUUUAAAUCAAAUUCUUGUAAGAGUACAAGACAACACCAGUAAGUUACUAUUUAAACCCAUAAUCAACUUAAAAGCCAGACUUUGCAAGAAAACCACCCAGCAAAAGUGUCACAUUCAUUCCUAGAGAGGAAUCAAGACAGAACCUAUACAUCAAUUCAAUCAAAACUCACAAAUCCUACCCCAUCUAUACAAAAACCUGAUUCAAUCAAAGAUCAGCAAACAAUAUACUCUUCAAUUAAGUAAUACGUUUAUUAUCACAAUCUUUUUGAGACCAACUCACAUAAGAGAUGAUGAAAUUGUUCUAAGCUUCCUUGUAACUAACAUUCGGAUAAUCAAAAAACAGAUCAAAAUCUUCUGAAUUUAUUGCACUAUCUUCCCUUCUCACAUGGCAUCAAAGUCUAUUAUCAGGAUUGUUACAGCUUUCAGUACUGUGACGAAAAAUCACCAUAGACUCAUCUUAAAAAACUCACAAGUAUUGAUGUUGUAAUUUUUCUUUGAUUUGUGCUUAUUGUCUCCAAUUGUUUGUUCAUUGAAUCUAUAACUUUAUACAAGGCUUUCGUCCCAAAAUUUUUUUUUUCUAAUUCCGUCAUUGAUGGUGCACUUGUGAUCAAUAUAAUUGUUUCAUAUUGAAAAUAGUGGAAUAUAGUACACACGGAACUCAAUCAUUCAAAAAGACAAAAUCUUAUUCAUUAUUUCAAGUUUUCGUGUUCAAGUGUUCUUCAGUAUAUAUGUACGUGUAAGUCCAAUUUCUUUAUACUUAAAUAAGUCUUAAUUCUUUUAUUUCAAUUAAUUAAAUCUCUUUAUUUUUAUUUUUACUCAAAUAGAUCUUUAUAGUUAAGGAUUAAUUUAUAAUUAUCAUUAAUCAAAAUAUCACUUGUUAUUUUAUGUUCAUGUGAUACUGACGUGACGUUGAUGUAAAGGGUGAAAAUAUUACAUAAUAAUGUCAACAUGUCACAUUAGUAUGUUACAUUAUUAUUUAUUAUAUGUUAAUUUACCACAUAACAUAGAAUGAAAAGUGAUAUUUUGACUAAUAAUAAUUAAUAAUAAAAAUUUAUUUGACUCAAAAUAAAAAUGAUAAAAACUUAAUUGAACGUAAUGAAAGAAUAAAAACUUAAUUAUUUAAAUUUUUUGAAUAAUUCAAGAUUUUUUUAAAAUAGACCUUGGCAUGUCAAAUUAAAUCACUUCCUAUCCUUAGCAAAAGAAAAUGAAUGCAAAUAGACAAUGCAUUCGGUAGCUUAAAAAUAAUGGAAGAGAAAGAGAAAGAAAGAAAUUCAAAGGCGCUUUCAAUUUCUUAGUUGUAAUCACAUGCCCCACCACUUUGUUUUGCCAGUUUCGUACAAUAAUUCAGCAAGUAGAUGAUCAGCCUUGCAAUGCUUUUUCAUGCAUAUGGGAAGGAGAAGCCAUUCACGUCACCCCUCCAUCAACACAAAUAAUCCGUCCUGCUAUGUAACAGGCUACCGAUAGGCAUAGGAAUGCCACCAAGGAAGACACUUCUUUAGGCUCUCCAAUCCGUCCCAAAGGAGUUCUUGAGAUUACAGAUUUCAGACAUUUUUUCUUCUUCGAAAGCCUGCAAGGGAGAGGAACAAAGUGUGAGAUUAUAAUUUGCCUGAUCUAGACUUUUUCACUGGUGGAUUAAUUUAUGCUACAUAUAAAUGGCACAUUAAUUAGAAAAUUGAUCUUAUUACAGCUUUGGUAAGAGGGGUUCUAAUGAACGCUGGCGCAACACAAUUAGUCCUUAUAUUGUCUUUUGGCCACUCACAAGCUAAAGUCUUUGUAAGUUGGUUCAAUGCUCCUGCAGAUUGGGAGGAUCACACCCUUUUGAGGCAUUUUUUUUUUCCAAUUUAGAACGCCAUAUUUGUUGCAAAAUUAUGGAUGUAAAAGAAUCUACCUUUGGCUGCACUAUAGAAGGAUCCACCUAGAUUUAUUGAUAUAACAGCAGCCAUUGAAGAUAUGAAAACAACGCUUCCUGCUCCCGGAGCUUUGAGAUCAAGGGGAUGUGAAAAUUGGCACAGAUAAGAUGCAGAUUCGAAAUUCGUAUUCGUUAGAGUUGAGAACUCUUCAGCGGUGAACUCCACAGUUGGCUUCCAUAAAUAUACUCCGACAUUGUUUAUCUAGAGACAGAAAACUGGCAUAUAAAAGAACCUAAUUCCACCAUGUAGAAGUUUUCUGAAUCUGAGGAAAUCUAGUUGGACUUACGAGGAUGUCAAGUUUCUCAUUGAAAAGAAAGGAGACUGUGCUCACUAGUGUUAUGAUUAAAUCAAUACAGUAGAAUCAAGCAUGCAGAGAAGAAGAUGUAAAACAAAAUAAAACAGAGGAGCUUAGUUAAUAUUGAUCAUAUCCAUUAACUAAAGAAAGAUACAUGAAUAUAUACAUUAGAUGCAUGGUUAACACUUGUACAAAACUACCAAGUGUUUAACAUAGGAUUAAGAUAAGCAUGCAAUGCUUACACGUUCAACUACAUGUAGCAGCAACCAAGACUCUGGCUUAUGAAACCAGUACAAUGAAGCAAAAUGGACACUUGUCCAAAACUUAGUUAAAUAGAAAAACAACACUCAAGCUAGUUUUAUCUCAACAACUACCUUUUCUCGUUGUGCUCGGGAUGAAACAUCACAGACUGAGCCUGAGACUUGGAAGCCUUCUUCUCCCAUACACUUAAACAUUGUUUAAGUUGUGUUUCAGUCGAGAGCAUGUAUGUAUCCCGGCCCCAAACGUUGACAAUUCCACCACAAUGGCAUACCAUCUGCUGCUGUUCUUCUUUCUUCUCUCUGCCUCAGCCAUUUUCCUUCCCAACGUCUUUCUAUCUUCCUCCCUUACUCUGUUAAGAAGACUAGAUAAACUAUUUAUAGAUACCAGAUGCAAAUUAAGAACCAACUGUCAAAUUUCAAACGUUCAACACUUGACUCUUGUAAAGCAAAAAACGUGAAACGAAAAUUGUCUUUGAAGACUUACCUCUUCUAGUGAGAAUUCAAGUAUGCUUUAUUGCUUCAAGUUUUUGUUUCUGAAAAUGUUUAGUUUGCCUAGUUUACUUGUCCAGUCCAGUCCUUACUAGCCCAUUUGAUUUGAAAUCUUCCCAUACCGGCCCCUAAGCUUAGCAAAUAAUCAUUCUUAAAUUUUAAAUGAACGAUAAAAACAAAAUCAAAUGACCCAAACUCAAGCCGAAUCAUGAAGAACAUGUCAUAAAUUUUAACUACAAAUUCUUGCAACUCAACAACUUAUUUUUUUCCAAUAAAUGGAGAACUUUUACUCCCUUUCUGAGAAUGAAUUCAAUAAUAAAAUUUAAUUUUUAUUUUUCAAACUUGUACUUGAAAAUAAUAGAUUUUACAUAAGGAGAUGCUUAUGAAAUUCCUCUAUUUUGCUUUUGUUUCUUUAAUCAAAAAGAAAAGUGAUUGCUAAACGUUAAAAGAGAUGUUUAUACUAACCCUGCUUAUUUCUUAAUAAAUUCCUAAUAUAAGGAAAUAUCCUAACAUAGGUCUAACUAUUUAUAAAAUAAAACAGUAAGAAACUUUUUUUUUUCAUAAUUUGAAUUUUAUAAAUACAGUAGCACAAAUGUCAUUUUGGGUUAGUGUAUUACAACAUACAUCUCUAUCUUUUUUGUCUCGGAAAAAUGAGAGAAAUAAGGGUUUGGGUCUUUCUUGUAGAACAUUUAAGCCUGAUAAGAUUAAGAGUAAUAUAUACCCGUUUAUUUCACCUACAAGAACUAAGAAAAGCAUGCCAGAAUGCAAAUUUGUGUCGUACAACAAAAUUUGCUGGUCUUUUCAUUCAAUUGGGAAGAACACGAAUCAAUGAACGUCAAGCUCCUGCUCGUUCAAAGCUGUUCAUCACAAUUCAUGAUCAUCUGUCGGCUUUUUCCUUUUUACGGUAAAAGUCUAGCAUGACAAGAUGUUUGUCUUGAAGCCCAAGGACUAGAAAUUAAGUUCCCAUGAAAUUUAUCGAGCUUUCGAUGAAGAACAAGUCACCAGGGAAAGCCAACAUCUACUUGCUUGGUAAAGAACAAAUGAUUACACCUAUACAAAUAUGAUUGAACAUUAAUGUCUUAAAUAGGACAACAAAAUAGAAAUCGCUUAUUAAAACUCCAGGUUUUGGGGUCAAAUUAAAUCCUAAACCCAUCUCUUUGUUCUUGUUCAAAGUCUUGCUCUUGGGAAGAAGAACCCAUUUGCUGUCACCCCACCAUCAACACAAAUAAUUUCCCAGUUAUGUAGGAGGCUGCUGGAAGGCAUAGGAAUGCUACCAAAUGGGCAACCUCUUUGGGCUGUCCAGGGCGACCGAGAGGGGUUCGAGAGUUCAGAGCUGCCAGAAAUUCUUUGCUACUGAGAAUCUGACAAGAAAAAAUGGAAGUAAUUCAAUAUCACAGUUACAAUAUAUUUAUUAAUCCAAGAGAAAAGCAUGGUGAAGAGAUGUUCCUGGUUCAACAAGUGGGGUUCUAAUGAAAUAAGGUGCAACACAAUUGCUCCUGAUAUUGUCUUUUGCCCACUCACAUGCCAAAUUCAUAGUCAGCUGAUUCACUGCUCCUGUAUAAAGAUAUUUGACCAAAAUUUACACUUAACAAAUUAAACUGCAUGCAUUAAAAUUCAGGAUUACUAAGAUUUAGUUUUUCUCCGAAGCACCUUUAGUUGCUCCAUAGAUAGAUCCAAUAUUGAGCGAGAGCACACCAGCAACAGAAGAAACAAAAACAAUGCAUCCAGCUCCUGAUGCUUUGAGAAGGGGAUAAGCAAGUUGGCAGAAAUGGAAAGCAGAUUCAAAAUUGAAUCUUAGAUUACUAAGAUUUAAUCUAAGCAUGCUUCCUACCAUCUAGUGUUUACACUUGAAAACUUCACAUAGAAGAGAUAACGAGUCAACCUUAGGAAGAAGUUAACUUACAAGGAUGUUGAGUUUUCCGGUUAAGAGAGGAAACUUUGCUCAUCAGCCUUUCCCUUUCAGCUGGAGAGGCUACAUUACAGACUGAACCAACAACUUGUAAACCUUUCGUCCUCCAUUCUUUCAAGCAUUCAUUCAGCUGAUCUUCAUUGCGCGAGCACGUAUAAACUGUUGCCCCUAGCGCUGCCAACUCUUCCACCACAGUAUGCCUAAAACAUAAUUUAAUACGACAUAUUGGAGCAACAGAUAUUAACUGAAAGAGCAAUCUCAUGACUACAGAGGGAAUAGAGAAGGAAACUAGCCAUUACCCAAUUCCUUUUGUUCCACCAGUAACAAGAGCAGUUGCUCCUUUGAGAGACCAUUGGCUGUCUCUACAGCUUGGGGUUCCAUCCCUUGCCAUUUCUCUCUCUCUCUCUCUAUCUCUCUUUCACUCUCCGGUCAAGAGCUUGAUGUUCAGUACUGCAGCUUUUUGGAGCUCAAAUUUUGGAAACAAGCGUAAAGAACAAUAUAGUGACAAAGCCCAAUGCCAGUCAACUAUCGACGAGUACAAUUAAAAAUAUACAACGACAGACUGCUAGCUGGUCGCAUAUGCCGAUUGUGGGAUUCAUAAAGAAAUUGUGAGAAAUAAUUUUUUUAUUUAAAAGUAUAUUUUAUUAUAAUUUUAAUUAAUUUAUCACAUGAUUUGACAAUAAUACUUUUUAAAUAAUUUCAGAUAAAUUAAAAUAAUUUUAGCUUUUUUUAUCCCGUUAUCUAGAUAAAAAUUUUAAAAUUAAAUCCUGAUUUCUCUUACCAAAUACUGUCUAUCUCGUCAUUCAGCUCUUUCUCGUCAUCCCAAAAAACAGAUAUGACAUUAAAGUAGGUAUUUUAGGUUAUUAGAUUUAUUGGUUUAUUCAUAGAACUCUAAAAUUAAGGAUUUAAAAUUGAGUAGAUAUAUUUAUAAAUUAGAACACUAUAUGACUUUGGCAAUUUAAACCUAGCUACGAGCAGGUAAAUCAAUUAGUUAUUAAGUAUUACAUUACUAGCUUUUAGGCAUCGUGUUACUAGGUUUUUAGAUAUUGCGAGACUAGUUUUUAAUCAUUGCAUGACUUAAUUAUUGCGUCUCUGGUUUUUAGGCAUUACGUGACUAGUUUUAGGUACUACGUGACUGAUUUUUAGGCAUUGCGUGAGUGAUUUUUUAGCAUUGCCUAAGUCAUAUAAUGCCUUACUGACUAGUCAUACAAUGCCUUACUGACUAAUCAUACAAUGCCUUACUAACCAGUCAUGCAUUGCCCAUCAACUAAUCACGUAAUACUAUAUUAAUCAGUCAUGCAAUACCUAAAAAUUAGUGAUGCAAUGCCUUAAAACUAGUCACCUAAUGCCCCAAAACCGGUUACGCUAUGCCUAAAAACCACUAAAACUAUUGAAUUUCAUUCAACAAAAUCAACAACUUCAAACAAUACACUAUAUUCCAUUUAACGACAUAAUCAACGAAUAUACUUACUUGACCAAGAAUGCUCGAAAUGCUUAAAGGUUUUCCUUCUUGUAUCAAAAACCAUUCUAAAAUGCUUAAAAAAUGCUUAACAUGCACAAAGGUUUUUCUUCGUGUAUCAAUAACUACUCCAAAAUAUUCAAAAUGCUUAAAAGUUCUUUUUUCUGGCAAGGAAUACUCUAGAGAUGAAUGGUUUGGCGAGAAAAGUUCAAAGGAUAUGAGUCGAUUUGAGAUGCGGAUCUAAACAUAUAAGUUGGUUUCAUUAAAGGUAAUUUUGUCUAAAAUUAAUUUUUCUUAACUAAAAAUAGUUAAAAUUAUAAAGAAUGCUAUUUUCGAAAAUACCUUAUGUAUAAGGGGUAUUUUUGAAAAGAACCCUUGAUAAAAAAGGAGCAAUUGCUAAUAAACAAUUAUGCCAAAUUCAACACAAUCAAAUAAGGACUAGAAAACCCUGCCAUAAGUGCCUAACCAGGCUUUAACAAGUUAAUUAACUUGUUCCUGGUAUCAAAGAUUAGAAGAAAUAUGCUUUGCAAACUGAAAAGAUAUGGUAGGUUAGGAAUAUCUAGCUUUAGCUAUAAAAAUUUGGCACUCUUUGCGAAAUGAUGGUGGUAAUAUGGCACAAAAAGUGGUGUUCUCUGGAUAUGCUUAAUAAUGGAGAAAUAUGGCAAUGAUCAAUCUAAUUGGCUUCCAUCCAUUGCUCGACCUUCUAAAAUGUCAUCGGCUUGGCGAAGCAUAAUCAACAUAUCGUCCAUCAAAGAGGUUCAGGAACUUAUAAGAUUUCAUGCAUGUCGAUGCCUCAUUGGUAAUGAUGCCCUUCUCAUUUUUUGACUUGAUAAAUGGGCUUUGGAAAAUGAAGCUCUUUGCUUCAAAUAUCCUAGACUUUUCUCUAUUGCAAUGGACAAGGGGCCAUAGGUGCAUGAUAUUUGGCACAAUGGCAAUUGGUCUAUCUCUUUUUGACGCAACUUUUUCUCAUGGGAGGUUGAGUUUUAUAGCGAGCUUCGUUCAUUGUUGGGUCACAUUGUUCUUGUUCUGAGCAAAAUGGAUAAACUUAUAUGGAAGUAUAACUCUAGAGGUAACUUUUUAGUCAAAACAUUUUGCUCUUUACUUGAUGCUAGUUCUAAUAGUCACACUUCAUGGCUCCACUUUGUUUGGACAUUAUCUGUCCCCUUAAGUUUCAAAGCUUCUUAUGGCUCGCUACUAUUUACUCGAUCCCCUUCAAAGCCUUCCUUCACUUGAGGGGGGUGGACUUCAGCUCGAAGCAACUACAUUGCACUUGGUGUGGUUAUGAGUUAGAGACAUGCUCACACAUCCUUCUCACAUGCCAUUUUAAUUGGACAACAUAGGGCCUUGUUCUUUAAUACUAGAGGAUGUGAUGGUCCUCUCUUUGUACUAUAUCAUCCUUUUUGCAAUCUUGGGCUGGUUGUGCUUUGGUGAAUCACACACACUAGCGGUGGAUGAUAGUUUGUUGUGUCACGUUUUAGUCUGUGUGGUUGGCUUGUAAUGAGUUGGUUUUUAAUAGCAAAGUAUGGAAUGGGUCUGAAAUAUUUUUUUUUAUUCGAAUGCGAUCUAUGCUCUGGGUGCACGCAUGUGAUGGCAUUGAUGUGGUUGAUGAUAAUGGCUAGUGGCCCGAACCCCGACACACAUAUAUUACACGGUCCCUCUCUCCACUCGCAACUAGGGGUCUCUUGGAUACCUUUAUCUGAAGAUGAGUUUAAAUUCAAAGUGGAUGGCUCAGCAAAGGGUAAACCAAGCCCAGUAGGAUGUGGUGGAGUACUAUGUAACUCUAAUGGUUAUGUUGUGGGCAAGGGCGGAUUUAGAAAAUUUUCUAAGUGGUGUUAUAAGUAAAAUAAUAAUAAUAAUUAAAAAAUUGUUUACUCAAUUCAAGAUCUGUCGAGAGAGCACUUAGAUCAAAUUCAAUACAACUUUGCUUAGAAGAUUAUUGAGUACCAUCAUUAGUAGAAUUAUAUUCUUGUUGAUUAGGAUUUGAAUGUUGUAAGACAAUUCCUUGUAUUUUAAAAUUAUCUUUUCAAGACUUAUUUAUACAAAAACCUGUUAAAAAUUAUUACUAAUUUCUCAUUAGCAUAUUCAACAACUAACAAUUUGACAAAUUUCUAUUCAUCGAUCAAACUAAGUAUAUGCAUCUACAAACUACGUAAACUUAAAUACAAAAAUUAAAUAAUCAAAUAAUACAUCUACAAAAUAAAUCAAAAAAAGAAAGACGCAUAAUUUCAAAAUAUUAUUUGACAUGUAAUACUAUUUUCUGUUAGCAAGAUUUUGUUCGAAUCCUAAACUAUCAAAUUAAUCAAAAAUAUUUACACAUGAAUCAUUUAAACACUUGAUUUGGGUUGAAAAUUAUUUAUAGUUGAACAAUUAAAGUUUAGAUGAGUUGUUUUGAAAGAGUAAAAAAUGCAACCAAAGAUCUAGAAGAGAAAUCUCAUUGCAGGUCUCAAAAGUAAUAUUUGAAUUUUUGGAGAAAAAGAUUUUAGUUUAGGUUUUGACUUUUUUAAUAAAAUCUUAAAUUAUAAAUUUUUUAUCUUUUAAUAUUUAAAUAUUAAUAUAUAAAUUAUUUUUUGAUAAAUUUAUUUUGACCGGUAAUUUUUGACCCCACUCUUUACAAAAUUGUAAAAAAAUUAGUGAGUUCUUUAGUGUUAUUAAUCAAUAAAAUUCUAGAUAAGUAAUAUACUUAGUAUAACAUGACACCACUCUUAUAUAGCUGGGUCUGCCCAUGAUUGUGGGUGUCUUGUUUGGCCCACUUGGCAUCCAAGACUCCAACUUUGCAGAGCUUAUGGUCAUUCUUCAUGCAUUGCAUCUUUUCUCUCACUCCUCUUUCACAAGUUCUAAGUUGAUUAUUGAAUCUAACUUCAAGAAUGUUCUAUCGUGGGUGACCAACAUUGAUACGAGGCUUUGGGACAAGUGAUAUUUAUUUAAUGAGAUUGAUGCACUUGUUCUUUCACUGGACAUGGUGUCUUUUACUCAUAUUUUAUGACAGGGUAAUUGUUUUGUAAAUUCCUUAACGAAGUUUGGAGUUAAUAGAAACAUGAUAUUCUCAACAUGGUGGUAACUUUUGAUACUUUUAUUUGGUUGAGCUGUUGCCUUCUGUUUUAUGUUAAUACUUGGAUUUGUUUAUGACUUUUGCAUUGUCUUACGGUACCGAUAAGCGAAUCUUUUAUUUAAUGGUACCGAGUACCACUAGGGUUGUACGCGAUUGCAUGUCCUGACCCUUGAUCCCCAUAUAUAAACAGAUCUUUACAAUGAAAUUUCCAUAAUUUUAAUACAAAUUUCUUUUAACUAAGAAAAAAACCAUUUUAUUACCUUGGGUCACAGUUUUAUUACAGCUUGCAAAUUUCUCACGUUACAAACUUCACUUAGCAUUCUUUUCCUCUCAUUCCUUCUUUAAGUUUUUUUUUUCUUUUAAAAGUAAAUUCCAUUAAUCAAGACAGGGAACCCUUGUAAAGAACGUUCUUUCUUUAAGUUACAACUAAUACACCUAAACCACACCUUUUCCUUUUAGAAAGAUUACAAGAAACCUUAAAUUUCUCGAUAUCCGAACUUCAAACUAUUUAUUUGAGUGUGAAAUAAUAGUUUCUCCCAAAUCGUAGUUAAAAAAUUAAUAUAAACAGAGCGGCAAUCAAAUGGCAGUUUAACUUGCGAGAUACUGAAGUAUCCUAUUCUGAUUAGAUAUUGAGAUCUUUCAUCCUUCUCUGUCACUGCGUAAAACUAGUCUUCCCAUCAAACUUCUUAAUUGAAAAAUUUGUAGAACUAACAACUUUUGACAUCCUUGUUGAAUCUUGAAUUUACCGAACUCGAAGUUCCGAUACCAAUUUGUUGUGGAAAUUACCCAAGAAAUAACAAAGAUAAAACUCAGAGAAAUCAAGUAAACAGAAAACACAAGAAUUUACGUGGUUCGACCUCUUGCCUACGUUCAUAGAGUGAAACUAUUCUUCUAUAUUUGAGAAAUCAAAGUACAAUAAAUUGAUCUCUAUGAUUCUCCAAACUAACCCAAGAUCCCUUGCACACUCUUCUUUAAUAAACUCUUAAGAACACUCACCCAAACCACUCUAGCUCCAUCUAGAGCAAAAGACAGAGUUACAAAGUGUUCCCUCUUUAGAGCUCUCAAAGUACUACUUGUAAUUCAAAAGCCUAGAGAUCCACUUUUAUAGUAUAAAAGUCCAAAAUAGAAUGUGAAUAGAACUCGAUGUGGAAUAAGAAGUUUAAAAUCAUACAACUACUCAAUGUUGUACACAAACAAGAAUCUUAAUCAUAUAAGAUCUAGAAUUCUAGUCAACCUAAAACUCAACAUAAUCAUAAAUUGCAAAUAACCUAGCAUUGUUCAGGAAUACAUAUAGAUUCCUCAACCUGACAAAAGAAAAAUCUACCACUUAUUCGCUCCUACCAACUAGCGUGCCAAAAAUUGAACCCGAGAAAUUAACAAGCCCCAUUACUUCUUUUGGCAAAUAAACAAACAUAACAAAGACAUUACAAUGAGGAAAAACAGAAGCUUACAAAGAUGUUGAGCUUGCUAUCAAACAAAGAUGAAACAUUUUCCGUUAACUUCUUUCUUUCUACUCCAACAGACACAUCGCAGAUAGAACCAAAAACCUCAAAACCCAAACUUUUCCAAUCUACUAAGCACUUGUCAAGCUCAUUUUCAUUACGUGAACAAGUGUGCACACUUGCUUCAAGUCCUACCAAUUCCUCCACUAUGGCACAUCUAAUAAACAAACCAAUAAAAGAUACCCAGUUCAAAAAGACUUAUAAAAGUUUCAGCUUUAUAGUUCAAGAAAACUAAAUGGCCAAUCUUUUUCAUGUUCAUGGAAAAUGGGAAUUUUUUUUGUUUUUACCCAAUUCCACGUGUGCUGCUAGUUACCAGUGCUGUCAAACCUUGAAGUGACCAUCUGUUAGAUUUUGUGUUUCUUGGCGCAAUGGAUUGGUUCAAAAUGGGACUUUUUUAUUGAAAUGAAAAGGAAGUUUUGGGAUUAAAAGAGAUGAUUAAAUGGGUGUUAUGCUGGGGUUUAAAGGAAGAGGAAAAAGGCUUUUGGGUGUUAAUGAUAACUGAAGAAGGUGAAAUCAGAGCUUGCUUCAUUGGCUAAUGAAAGGGCUUCAAACAGCUACCAGCUUCUCCCAUGAUGCUAGGUUCUUAAAUACAAAACAGAGUGGCAACUUGGUGAUCAAUAAAGUCAAAAUUGGUCACCCAAAAACAUAAAAACCCAAUUCAGAUACUACUUUACAAUAUAAUAUGAUUACAAGUAAUAUAAUUUCAAGCAAUGUAAUUGUAAAAAAGAUAAUAUUAUAAUAUUAGUUAUAUAAGCAAAGAAGAUAAUAUUGUAGUAUUAGUUAUAUAAAUAAAGUGUGUUUGAUAUAUAAGUAAAGCAAUGAUUAAAAUGUAUGGAAGAUAAUAUUAGAGCGUUUAGUUUACAAAUACUUUAUUGAGAAUAUAAUGUUAAGUUUCAAAAUUAUCCUUAUUUAUUAAAAUACAAAUUUAAUAUACUUGUAUUUUUUUAUUACUAAUUUUUAUAUAAUAUCAACUCUUAAAUAUAUUUUUAAUAUCAUAUAUUUUAUUUUUAUUUCUUAUUAUAGUCUUAUAUAUUUUGUUUUCAUUUUUUAAUAUAACUUUUUAUAUUAUAUAUUUUAUUUUAAUUUUUUCUUUUAAAAGAAAAAAUAAAUUUUAUUAACAGUUUUUUUUUUAGAGGCAAGAAGAAAUUUUAUUGACAGUUACUAUGACUACUAAGAAUAAUAAAAAGACAUUCAUUGAAAUCUAUAUAAAAUAAAUAAAUUAUAAUAUUAAAAAAUAUUUUUAUCAAAGUAACAAAAUUGAAAGAUAAAAAUAUCUUUAACAACAUUGCAGAGUAUACUUAUUUUAUGUUUAAAAUCGAACCAAUCGAACUAAUUUUAUGUUUGAUUUUGAUUGAUUUGGUCUUCUUUCAUGUUUGGUCGAUUUUGAUGGAUUUUUUAAAAAUGUUUGAUCCUUUUAAUCUUUAGGCAUGACAGACCCAACAACCAAAUCUACCUAUUUAUUCACCCUUAACUACUUAUAUACUUUAAAGCAUUUGUUUUGGCAUAUAGAAGGGGCAAAAGCAUAAUUUCAAGUAGGGUAAAGGAAAAAGAAAGGCUUUAUCUCCACUAGAGGCUCAUGAGAAUACAUCAUUCCAUAAACAUAUUGCUAGAAAAAAAAUUUCUAAGAAACAAAUGAAAAUAAAAUAAAGCAAGCAAAUAUAGUAAAAAGUCUGAAGCAAGGCAUCACUGUCCUUAAGGAUAAUUUUUGUCGCCCUUUUGGAGUACAAGACUUGGUGCAAAAAGACUGUAGCAGUUAUCCUCCAGGAUUCAAUAGACCAUUCCCUAUAGUUUGCACAAACUAGUAAAAGAUAGUAGGAAAACAAAAAAGAUUUUUCUGGAAAAAUAAAACUCAGUAGGAAAGGAAUGAAAACAGAAAAAUAGUAUGCAGAGAAACUUGAGAGGAGAGUAGUAAGAGAAACCUUGCUUGGUGUGUGUUGUACUUGAGGCAGGGAAGCUAUAUUUAUAGGUAGAAGAUGAAGUAAAAGUUGCACCAAAUCAGGAGAUUUUUUGAGUCUGAUUCAUUCAAAGGCUGAGAAAGCUUAAAAAAAAUUUGCUGGCAUUAGUUGAGUUUGAGUUGAUUCAUUCAAAGGCUAAGAAAGCUUAAAAAAAAUUAAAACUAAGGUAUAAAAAUUAACUUGGGCCUAGCCCAUGUGUAUACUUGUGCGCAAGAGAGAAAAUUUGAAUUUUUUCAAAGCCUAGCCCAAUCUCGUGUACGCACGAGCCCACAUCUUUUUCUUCUUUGUAACAAACCCAUAAUGAGUUUGCUUAUUUAAAGCACUCACACCUUUAUGUAUCUUAAUAAUGUAGGAUAUUUGAAUCUUAUGACAUACACUAUUUUUCCAACAUAUUUAUCUUCUUUGCCACCACUCCAUUUAUUCUUUCAUCAAUCGCCUAUGAAAACUGCUGUAGCUAAUUUUCCGGAUGAAAAUAACUUUGGUACAACAAUUUUCAGAUUGGUGAAUUCUGUCACAUAGAAAUUCAAGUGUUUAUGGCUCGAAUAUUUUUGUCACAUAGACAUCCACAUGACUGUGAUUUAUGUCACGUAUUCAUCCAUAUUGAUGUCCACAUAAUAUUAAGGUCGUAGAUUUCUUUUAAUUUUGAUGACGAUUGAUUGACGAAAUGAAUAAAAUUAGAAUAUUUUUAAAAACUUAUGAAAUUAAAAAUUAAGUAUUAGAAUUCACGAAUGAAAAUAAAAUAUUACACAAAAGUCAUAAAUGUUUGAUGCAAGUUAGAGAGAAACUCAUUUCUAAAAUGUGUAGUCUAUUCACUAGAGUUCCACAUGUCCUAAUUGUGAGCCUACCCUUUCUAUAAUAUUACGUCUCUUCGAUUAAGUAAUUUUCACUUAAUGUCUUAUUUUUGUUUGGAAUUAGUCAACCAAUGUGCUCAUAGGCCUUUUAAUUCUUGAAUAUUAAUCUAUAUCAUGGCAUUAUCAACUACAAAUGGCAACAAAAUAUAUAUAGUAGAAGAGUAAUUAUAGACAAAAUGCAAGAAGCAGCAGCUUUUGUUUCAUUAUGGUUGACAAUAGAAAUGAAAUCCAAAUCCAAACAAGUGUAGCAGUUCAGAUUUUUUUUUUAUUGACCAGCUGCAUUCUCAGACUAGCAGAUCAAGAGGAAGAAGAGAGAGAAAGACAAGCAACAGCUAGGAACCUUUGGCUGAGGUGCCGAGCGCUUCAUUUCUUAUUUUCUUGUUUUGUUAUUGGGCAAAGCCUUAUGCGCCAUUUCAAGAUUGGGAAUUAGCCUGGCUAUUCUUCCCUAGUAAGGUUUUAUGGCAGAAGAAGCCAUUCACUGACAUGCCCCCAUCGAUGCAAAAAGUCUGCCCUGUUAUAUAAGAGGAUGCUGGUAGGCACAGGAAUCCCACCAAGGAUGACACUUCCUCUGGCUCUCCAAUUCGUCCCAUCGGAGUUCGAGAGAUGAUAGUCUCUGAAAACUUUUGAAUGUACUGCAAGCAAGGAGAAGGACAACAAUUAUAAAUACUACUAAUUUACAACACUGACAAUAUUAUACAGUUUGAGGAACAAAAAUUUUCAUGCUUUAGUGUAACCUUUCGAAUUUAUAUAUGAACUCUUGCCAUAGUGGUCUCAAAUUGUGUACUCUUUAAUGAUCUGAAAAAUCCUAGCCAUCAAUAUACUCAUUUCUUGUAAUUUAUUCUAUAACUCUCUUGGGAUAUCCUUUUUGGUUACACUUACUCUGAAUGAUAUGAUCAGGCUUAUAAAUAUAAACAGUAAAUGUAUGGGGAAAAAUAUUUUUAAAGGUUCAGCAAGGGGAGUUUGGAUGAUCCAAGGUGCAACGGAGUUGACCCUUAUAUUGUUCUUUGCCCACUCACAUGCCAAGUAUUUUGCAAGGUGGUUAAUGGCUUCUGAAGACAAUGGAAUGAAAAUCUCAAUUCAGUCAAGAUUGAUAAAAUUACUCAACUGCUUGCAGUAGACCUUUAAUUUGGCAGGAAAAUUAUAUAUAUAGACAUACACACACACACACACCUUUUGUUGCUACAUAUAAAGAUCCACAACUUACUGAUACCACACCAACAACUAAAGAGAGAAAAACGAUGCUUCCUGCCCCUGAAGCUUUCAGAAGAGGGUAUGCAAGUUGGCACAAGUUGUAAGCAGACUCAAAAUUGGUGCCCAUGAUCAAUGAGAAAUCUUCAGCAGUGAAGUCUGGAGUCGGCUUUGAAAUAAGUGUUCCCACAUUGUUAAUCUAUAGCACACCAAGUUGGCAUUAUUGGAACCACAAAUGUCUCAUUAGCAAAACUCAGGAGUUGGGACACUAUGCAGAAUGAGAGUUACGAGAAAAAGAAAGAAUGAGAAUGGAUGUUUACUCACCAGGAUGUUGAGUUUUCCACCAAAUUCAGAGGAGAUAGUGUUUAUUAGCUUCUCUCUUUGGGCCUGAGAUGAUACAUCACAGACUGAACCAGUAACCUGGAAACCCUUUGCUUCCCAGUCAAGUAGGCAUUUGUUGAGGUCAGUUUUAUUUCGUGAGCACGUGUGUGUUCUUGCUCCCAGUGCAGCUAAUUCCUCUACGAUAGCAUACCUGGUUGCAGUAUUUAUUAAUUUGUGAUCAGUCAAAUAGAAGCUCCAUUUUGGCCAAUGUAAUGAUCCAAUCACCAAACGCAGAUCAUCUCAUAAACGUUCCUAGUUAAAAAGUCACAUCUAAUUAACAUGUAUAAACAACGAAGCAAAGUUCCUUAUAUUUUGUUUGUGCUUUUCCUCCAGAACUUGUCUCAAGAUUUUAAUACCUUGCGCAAUCCACUGGAUGCUUUGUUAUAUUCAUGAAUGUAUCGUUCUGUGUAUACGUAAAAAGUUUUGUCAUUGGAAACAAAUAUAUAUUCAAAGGGAAGUAAAGGAGAAGAAAAUGUCAAUGGCCUGAAAUAUAUGAAGAGUCUCCCAAUUUCGAGAAUAUUAUAUAAUAUUGAAAGGUAAAGUAGCAAGAAACGAGGAGUAGUAUCAAACUUGCAAAGAGCACAUGGUAAAAAAGAAAGAGAGAGAGAAGAGAGCAAAAUUAAGAACCCGAUUCCUUUGGUUCCACCAGUAACAAGUGCAGUCAUGCCUUGAAGACUCCAUCUGUUGUCCUUCCUAGAGCUAUCUGCUUGAGCCAUUCUCACUUCUCUCUCUGGUGGCUUGCAGUUGAGGUAUGUUAAUUCCCACAGAGGCUAUUGCUGACAAAAGAUUCAAUAGGAAAUUAAAUGGGGGAAAAGGACAGCACUUGAGAAGUCGUUUCCGAACAACUGUCACAAUUAAUGCAUGGCAAAAUGUUUACUCUCGAGCAAAUUCUAGAUGAAUUCUUUCUCAAUCCUAGAUGACAACAAGGGCUUAUUGUCAACAAAGAAAAUUUUAUUUUAGGCAUAUUUUUUUUAAGUUUAAUAUUUAAUAAAACUACAUCUUUUAUUGAGUAAAACACACCUAUCAUAUGUGAUUUUUUAUAUACAAAAAGAACAUAAUUCAAAGUAAAGUAAAUCCGCAAUCCACAAAAAUAUAUAAAGAGAGAUGCGUAGAAAGAUAGAGGACAAAGAGAGGAGAAGAAAAAGAGGUUUUCGAUAACGAUCGAUGAUGUGAAUGGCGACGAGAGGAGAGAAGGUAGAUGUUCUUUCCUUAUGUGAUCAUCAACUUUUAGAAAAAGACACCUUUGAUGUUUAAGGAACUUUACAUCUUGCUAAAAGGAGAAUUUAUAAAACUCUAUUUUUGAAUUCAUUAUUUUUUAAAAAUAUUCUAAAAUCAUAUUUUUUCAAUAAUUAUUUAAAUUAAAAAAAUAACAAAAUAUAUCAUCUCAACGUCUUCCGAAGUCCACACGAUAUAAAUCUCAACCCAAAAAAAAUCAAACAAGUAUAUCAUUUUUCUUUUUUCACAUGAAGAGGCCCAUAUUUUUACAUUGCAUCUGACUAAUUAAGAAGGCACAAUAGGUCUCGAUUUGUAUACAUAUUUUUUUACAAUUUUAGAAAUUUUAGCACAACAGACAUUAUGAGGCAACAGUUACAGAGCAAGUUAUAUUUAAAAUUUGUAGUCUAUUCACUAGGAUAUAAUUCAUAACCUUUUCAGAAGAUGGAAAGAGUGAAUCAAAUUCCAAUCUCUCUUUUUUGUUAACUUAGAUAUUAAAAUUUCUAUAAAUUAAUAUCGAUAAAUUAAUAAUCUCGAAUAAAUAAUAUUUUUGAUCAAUUUUGACUUAUGAUCAAUGUGGUAAAUUGAUAAUUCAUUAAAUUUAUAAAAUAAUACAUUUAAAAAAAAACACAAACACAUAAGUUUCACUUGAAAUAUAAAUUAAUAAUCUCCUAAUAUAUCAAAAUUAUAUAUAUACAUAAAUCAAUUAGAAGGGUUUUAUAAAAUAUGACUUCAAUGUUACUUGUAAAAUAUGACUCAAUUAGGAGGCCUUUGUAAAAUAUGACUCCAAUGUUACUUGUUUUUCUUGAAAUUGAUGUCUCUUUGGAUCUCAUUUCUAACUUUUCUUAAUAUUAAGCAAACCACUCAUAAAGUAACUUUUCUAGUUUCAGGAAUUUUGCAAUUUUGUGUAGUUUGGCAUCACCUUUUUCAAUGUUGGCUGAUAAAUAGACCUCUUAAUUAUAUUUGAUAUCGUUACUUGACUUAUUUGCAAGUUAAACUUUUCUGACACUCACUAUUGUAAUUCUUUUUAGGUGCAAUUUGGAUUUUUCAUGUUGUACUCACAAAAUACUUUACGUAUUUCAUUUGUCAUUAUUGAUUUCUUUACACCUUUGAGAUGAGAAGCCAUUGUAUUUAGUUUUACCGUUUGUGAUAUUGUAUGUUUUUUUUAUAAAUGUUUUUGUAAAGGGGGGGGGGGGGGGGGGGGGGGCGGGGGGGGNAGUUAAAAAUGUUUAUAUAUAUAUAUAUAUAAUAUAUAUAUUAUAUAUAUAUAAUAUAUAUAACUCAAUUAAGAAGCCUUUGUAAAAUAUGACCCCAAUGCUACUUGUUUUUCUUGAAAUUGAUGUCUCUUUGGACUUUAUCUCUAACUUUUCUUAAUGUAUUAAGCAAACCACUCAUAAAGUAACUUUUCUAGUUUCAGGAAUUUUGCAAUUUUGUGUAGUUUGGCAUCACCUUUUUCAAUGUUGGCUGAUAAAUAGACCUCUUAAUUAUAUUUGAUAUCGUUACUUGACUUAUUUGCAAGUUAAACUUUUCUGACACUCACUAUUGUAAUUCUUUUUAGGUGCAAUUUGGAUUUUUCAUGUUGUACUCACAAAAUACUUUACGUAUUUCAUUUGUCAUUAUUGAUUUCUUUACACCUUUGAGAUGAGAAGCCAUUGUAUUUAGUUUUACCGUUUGUGAUAUUGUAUGUUUUUUUUAUAAAUGUUUUUGUAUGACUUAAUGUUCAUAAAAUAUAUUAAUUAAGUAUACAUCAAAUGUGAUUUUAGGUUGUUGUAAAAUGGAUAGAUUCAUGACUUUUAUUUAAUAAAACUAAUUACACUCAUAACUUAUUUUGGAAAGAAAUACAUAAAAUAAUGAUAUAUCAUAAUUCAGUAAUUAUGUAAUAUUCGUAUAAUCACAUAUACAAUACAUGUGUUAAGUUCUAUAUUUUAAAAAAAUAAAAAAUACUUUGAUAAAUUAAUUUUUUCUUAAUUAAUCAUAAAUUAAUAAAUUAUUAAUUUAUCGAUUAAAUGAUAUCUUUAUUAAUUAAUAAAUUUUUAUGAUCCUAAAGAUAUUAAUUUAUACAUGUUUUAGUGCAUGUUCUAAUUCCAUAAUAUGCCAUUGGCUAAAAAAUUGUGGCUUUUUGUAAGCCUACCCUUUCUAAAACAUUACUUCUCCUCUAUUAACUAAUUUUCACUUAAUGUCUUAUUUCUCUUUGGAUUUAUUUAUGCAAUGUACUAAUAGGCCUUUUAAUUAUUGAAUAUUAAUUUAUAUCAUGACAUUAUCAACUACAGAUGGCAACAACACACACACACACACACACACACACAUAUAUAUAUUGUAGAAGAGUAAUUAUAGCCAAAAUGAAAGAAACUGCAGCUUUUGUUUCAUUAUGUAGACAAUUGAAAGAAAAUCCAAAUUCAAACAAGUGCAGCAGUUCAAAAUUUUUUUUUUGACCAGCUGUAUACUCGAACUGGCAGAUUAAGAGGAAAAAAAAAAAAAAGAAAGACAAGCAACAACUAGGAAGCAGUAGCUACGGUGUCAAAGCCAAAUGCAUCAUUUCUUAUUUGAGGCAUUUUUAAAAAAAACUCUUAUAAAUAAGAUGUUUUUAAAAAUAAUCAUCUUUAUAGUUUUAACUAUUUUUAGUCAAGUUGGAUAAAACUACCCUUAAUGAAGAUAUGAAAUUAUAUGUCAUGUACAAAAACAUGUUACACGUUAUGUACAAAAACAUGUGACAUGCAAUGAUUAGUUUGUUACAUGUCAUGUACAAAAACAUGUUACACGCCAUGUACAAAAACAUGUGACAUGUCAUAGUUAGGUUGUUACACGUCAUAGUUAGGUUGUUACAGGUCAUGUACAAAAACAUGUGAUACAUCAUGGUUAGGUUGUUACACGUCAUGUACAAAAACAUGUGACACGACAUGCUUAGGUUGUUACACACCAUAUACAAAAAUAUGUUACACGUCAUGUACAAAAAUAUGUGACACGUCAUGGUUAAGUUGUUACACGUCAUGGUUAGGUUGUUAAACGUCAUGUACAAAAACAUAUGACACAUCAUGGUUAAGUUGUUACAUGCUAUGGUUAGGUUGUUGCAAGCCAUAUACAAAAACAUGUGACACACACAUGGUUAGGUUGUUACAUGCUAUGGUUAGGUUGNGACCUAGGCUCCGCCGCAAAAAAUGGAUUAUGCUGAUGCUUAAGCGGUCGAGUCACAGAAUUCAUCAUGACUGGGGCAAAGAUUAUUCCUGCAAGUUGUUGUCCUGAUAAACUAAAGUAAAUAUAUAUUUAAUUUAAUUAAGUGAAAUAAGAGGUUUACCUAAUUUUGUUUUCAUAGUGUUGGGGACUUUGGAGUUUGGAUCACCACUUUACCUAAUUUCUGAUUUCUCAUUUAUCACUUUGAAUUGAAUCCAACUCCGUACCAUUAAGUAUUUUCUCAUUUACCUAAUUUUUUAGUAAUAAAAAAUUGUGUGGUGAUUAUCUGCAUGAACAUGGCCAAGUAAUAAUCACCCGCACUAGCUUCUAUUGCUUGCAAUAAAUAAUUAUCAGUGCCAAUCAACUUCAUUUAAUUAGGUAACCACUUGUUCGUUCCAAAAAUUUGGACUCCAAGCUUAGUUUAUUGAGUAUUUAUUAAAAUUAAUUAAGAUUUUUUUAUAUUAAAUACAGUAAUAGACCAUUAAUACAAUGAAUUUUUAUCAUAUUAAAUAAUAUUUUUUAAUAUGAUAAUUUAAAAAUUUUAAAAUACUCAUUGAAAUACUCAAAAAUGAAUAUUUAUAAAAUUUUGACAAAACUAUCUUUUUGUUGUUACAGUAAAAUUUUUAUAAAAUAAUCCUCGAUAAAUUAAUAAUCUUGAUUAAAUAAUAUUUUUUUCGAUCUCGACCUGAAACCAACAUGAUAAAUUAAUAAUUCGUUAAAUUUAAAAAAUAAUACAUUAAAAAAAAGAUAUUAGUCUCACUUGAUAUAUAAAUUAAUAAUAUUUUCAUACAUCAAAAUUUUAUAUAUAUAUACAUGAUUCAAUUAAGAAGUUUUGUAAAAUAUGACUCUAAUGUUACUUGUUUUUUCUUGAAAUUGAUGUCUCUUUGGAUCUCAUUUCUAACUUUUCUUAAUAUUGAGCAAACCACUCAUAAAGUAACUUCUCUAGUUUCAGGAAUUUUGCAAUUUUGUAUAGUUUGGCAUCACCUUUUUCAAUGUUUGUUGAUAAAUAGACCUCUUAAUCAUAUUUGAUAUUAUUACUUGACUUAUUUACAAGUUAAACUUUUCUGACACUCAUUAUUGUAAUUGCUUUUGCGUGCAAUUUGGAUUUUCUAUGUUGUACUCACAAAAUACUUUGCGCAUUUUAUUUGUCAUUGUUAAUUUCUUUAUACCUUUGAGAUGAAAAGCCAUUGUAUUUAGUUUUAUCGUUUGUGAUAUUGUAUGUUCUUUUUAUAAAUGUUUUUGUAUGACUUAAUGUUCAUGAAGUAUGUUAAUUAAGUAUACAUCAAGUGUGAUUUUAGGUUGUUGCAAAAAUGGAUAGAUUCAUGACUUUUAUUUAAUAAGACUAAUUACAUUCAUGAAUUUGUUUUGGUUAAACAAAUACAUAGAAUAGUGAUAAUUCGUAAUUGGUAAUUAGGUAAUAUUCUUAUAAUCACAAUAUAUAAUACAUGUAUUAAGUUUUAUAUUUUUAAAAUAAAAAUAUAUUUGAUAAAUUAAUUUUUUUAUUAAUUAAUCAUAAAUUAAUAAAUUAUUAAUUAUCGAUUAAAUUAUAUCUUAAUUAAUUAAUAAAUUUUUAUGAUCCUAAAGAUAUUAAUUUGUGGAUGCUUUAGUGUAUGUUCUAAUUCCACAAUAUGCCAUUGGCUAAAAAAUUGUGGAUUUUCGUGAGCCUACCCUUUCUAAAACAUUACUUCUCUUCUAUUAACUAAUUUUCACUUUGGAAUUAUUUAUGCAAUGUACUAAUAGGCCUUUUAAUUAUUGAAUAUUAAUUUAUAUCAUGACAUUAUCAACUACAGAUGGCAACAACGCAUAUAGACACACACACAUAUUUUGUAGAAGAGUAAUUAUAGCCAAAAUGAAAGAAGCAGCAGCUUUUGUUCCAUUAUGGUAGACAACAGAAAGAAAAUCCAAAUUCAAACAAGUGCAGCAGUUCAGAUUUUUUUUUAUUGACCAGCUGCAUACUCGGACUGGCAGAUUAAGAGGAAAAAGAAAGAGAAAGACAAGCAACAACUAGGAAGCAGUAGCUGCGGUGCCAAAGCCAAAUGUAUCAUUUCUUAUUUUUCUUGUUUUGUUUCUUGGGCAAAGCCUUAUGCACCAUUUCAAUAUAGGGAAUUAGCUUGGCUGUUCAUCCCGAGCAAGGUCUCAUGGUAGAAGAAGGCAUUCACUGACAUGCCCCCAUCGAUGCAAAAAGUCUGCCCUGUUAUAUAAGAGGAUGCUGGUAGACACAGGAAUCCCACCAAGGAUGACACUUCCUCUGGCUCUCCAAUGCGUCCCAUUGGAGUUCGAGAGAUGAUAUUCUCUGAAAACUUUUGAAUGUACUGCAAGCAAGGAGGACAACAAUUAUAGAUACUGCUAAUUAACAACACUUAAAAUGUUAUACAGUUUGAGGAACAAAAACUUGCAUGCUCUAGUGUAACCUUUCCAGCAUUUAUGAGUUCUUGCCAUAUACUUUUUAAUAAUAUGAAAAUCCUAACAACCAAUAUACUUAUUUGUUGUGAUUUACUUCAUAAUUCUCCUUGGAUAUCCUUUUUGAUUACUCUGAAUGAUAUGAUCAUGCUUAACAUAAAGACUAAAAGCAUUGGAGGAAAAAUAUAUAUUUUUACAUCAUCAGUGAGGGGAGUUCGGAUGAACCAAGGUGCAACAGAGUUGACCCUUAUGUUGUCCUUUGCCCACUCACAUGCCAAGUAUUUUGCAAGGUGGUUCAUGGCUCCUGAAAACAAUGGAAUGGCAACCUAAAUUCUCAAUCUUGAACGAUAACUCAACUAUAUGCUUGCAAUAAAGGUUUCAUUUGCCAGGAAAAUUAUAUAUAUAUACACGCACAUACCUUUUGUUGCUCCAUAUAAAGAUCCAAAACUUACAGAUACCACACCAGCAAUUGAAGAGAGAAAAACAAUGCUUCCUGCACCUGAAGCUUUCAAAAGAGGAUAGGCAAGUUGGCACAAGUUGUAAGCAGACUCAAAAUUGGUCCCCAUCAUAAAUGAGAAAUCUUCAGUGGUGAAGUCUGGAGUCGGCUUUAAAAUAGCUGUCCCCACAUUGUUAACCUAUAGCCACACCAAUUUGGCAUUUAUAUUGAUAUUUGAGGAUACUAGUUUGGCAUUAUUGCAAUCACAAAUGUCGUCUCAUUAGCAAAACUCAGGAGUCGAGACACUAUGCAGAAUGAGAGUUCGAUGAACUUUCAAAAAAUAAAGUGAAGGAAAAUGAAGGAGAGUAAAGAGAAUGCUUAAGAGCAGCAAAGUGAAGAAAAAAUAGAACAACUUCUUCAUUCAUAUCAGUUUGCUACUUAAAGCUUAAGUACAGGGAAUAAAAAAAGAACCAUAAGACAUGAAAUUAGAAACUGACAACUACCCACUAAGUAAAUUCAAUAGAUAAUUGAUCUAUAAUUCUAAGUGGUAGACUAACAUGUGCCAAGUAGGAUAAUCAACAAUAACUGACUGCAACAUAAAAAAUAAGACAAAACUUAAAUGAGUCUUAUGCACCAGCAUGUAGUAUCUGCUGGCUGCUCAGAUAAACACUAUCAACAACUAAAGAGAUGCAUUCCAACUUCAACAGAGUUACCAGAAAAAGAAAAGAAUCAGAAUGGAUGUUUACUUACCAGGAUGUUGAGUUUUCCUCCAAAUUCAGAGGAGACAGUGUUUAUUAGCUUCUCUCUUUGGGCCUGCGAUGAUACAUCACAGACUGAACCAGUAACCUGGAAACCCUUCGCUGCCCAGUCAAGUAAGCAUUUGUUGAGGUCAGUUUCAGUCCGGGAGCAUGUGUGUAUUCUUGCUCUCAGUCCAGCUAAUUCCUCUAUGAUAGCAUGCCUGGUUGCAGUAUUAAUUUGUGAUGAGUAAAAUAUUAGCUCCGUCUUGGCAUAAUCCAAGGAAAAGUAAAUUAAUCUCUUCACAUCAGCAUGUUAAUUGUAAUAUAAGCCUUUAACAAUUUCCCCUAGAAUCUAAUAAAUGAAAUCAAAAUCGUCUUGGUGAAUCGACCAUCACAGUCACUUUUAGCAAUACAAAAAUCUAAUUCCUGUUUUUCCUUGAUUUACAAAAUCUUUUAUCGAAUAUAAUGAUCUAAUCAACAAAACAGAUCACUUCAUCGCUUCAUACCAAGCGCCCCUAGUUAAAAAGUAACAUCUUGUUAAAAUGUAUAAACAACAAAGCAAAAUUUUUUAUUUUUUGUUUUUGUUUUUGUUCCAGAACCUGUCUCAGGAUUUUAUUAACUUACUCGAUCCACAUAAUGUUUAUCGCAUUCAUAACUGUAUAGUUCUGGGUAUACAUAAAAGGUUUUGUCAUUGUCAGCAAACAUAUAACUAAUUCUUAAGUUAUUGUACCUAAGUGAAUAGUCAAUGAGAGAAGUAAAGGAGAAGACAAUGUCAAUGGCCUGAUAUAUAUGAACCGUCCACCAAUUUCGAGUAUAUUAUAUAUUGAAAGGUAAAGCAGCAAGAAACGAGGUGUAAUAUCAAAUUUGCAAGAGCAGAUGGUAAAAAGAAAGAGAGGGAGAAGAGAGAAAGAGAACCCGAUUCCUUUGGUUCCACCAGUAACAAGUGCAGUCAUGCCUUGAAGACUCCAUCUGUUGUCCUUCCUAGAGUUAUCUGCUUGAGCCAUUCUUACUUCUCUCUCUCUCGGCUUGUAGUUGAGAUAUAUUAAGUUUAUAUAGACAGUUUCUUCCCACGUAGGUCAUUGCUGCCAAAAGAUUCAAUAGGAAAUUAAAUGGGGAAAGGACAGCAGUUGAGUAGUUGUUUCCAUAAUGUGGUCACAAUGAGUGGCAAAAUGUUCACUCUCAAGCCAAUUCUAGUUGAAUUCUUUCUCAUCCUAGAUAACAACAAGGGCUUAUUGUCAACAAAGAAAGAUGAAGGUGUUGAGAUCCCAUUUUUGCUUGGUAAUUCUAUAUACUAAACAGCUACAUUAAACCUAGCUUUUAAUUAUCUAGAGGGGAAUUUGGAGGUGGGGGAGGGGGUACGUGGUGAGAGUAGUUUUGUGCAUGUUGGGCAGAUUGCAUGUAGGCGUGGAUUUCAGGGCAUGGUUUGGACUACAUUUGGCACCUGUGACAUAACACACAGCAUGCCAAAAAAAAGGGCGGGAUUGUAGCUGUACAGGUCUAGGAAGAGGGGUUUUGCAGUUGACACCUAAGUUUGGUUGCAGGUUGUAUCUGCCAGCCUAGAGCAGGGGACUUAAGUUCAGGGAAUUGGAGGAUUUUGGGGGCUUUCUCCUUAAAAAAAAAAAAAAAUUGUUGGAGUUUAAAGGUCGUGGAAAAUUAAAGCAUUUAGAUCAUCUUUGAUACUAGUAAUGACAAAUUUUUUUCAUAAAGUACAAUCACUCUGGAGAAGAACAUGGAAAAAGAAAAACAAAAAAAAAAAGCAGCUUAGAGUGCUACCCUGAACCGUCUUAUUGACAAAAAUAAUCCUGACUACAUAUGUAAUCCACUUUUUCUGAGAGAAAUGAACUUGCAUAUACGGAGCUUAGGACUAAACAAUGCUAAGCCUCCGUUAAUUAGUUUAAGUAAAUAUAUUUUGUCGAAGAGCGAACCCCAAUGAGAGUUUCUUCGUACCCGAAAGGGAUGUUAUUGAUUUUCUUGAGAAAGUGAUGUGACUGUACACCAAGAUUAAUUUUAAAACAUAGAUGUUAUAUUAAAAUGUAUUCAGCUUAUCAUUAAUCAAUUGCAUAUUUCAAGCCAAAAAAAAAAAAAACCUUCUUGUUCAUUACGUUUGAAAUAUUGUUUGGAGAAUAUAUUUAUUGGACCAAACUCCAUCAAAUUGAUUGUCUGCUCAGUCUUUACCUUAGUAUAAUAUAGCUCAGCUUCAACGUGGCUUCGGCACUGCACAUUGAUCGAUGAAUGGCACGAGGGUUUCUCGAGUUAUCGUCAUGGGAUUCAAUAUUAGUUUAAGUAAAUGGGAAAAGGACAGCAGUUGAGUAGUUGUUUCCAUAAUGCGGUCACAAUGAGUGGCAAAAUGUUCACUCUCAAGCCAAUUCUAGAUGAAUUCUUUCUCAUCCUAGAUAACAACAAGGGCUUAUCGUCAACAAAGAAAGAUGAAGGUGUUGAGAUCCCGUUUUUGCUUGGUAAUUCUAUAUACUAAACGGCUACAUUAAACCUAGCUUUUAAUUAUCUAGAGUUAACAAAUUACUAGAGAGUAACUCCAAAUUAAGAAGUCCAUGAUCCAUACAUAUAGGGCAUUACUAAUUACUCAACAAUUAGGUAGUUAGUUGAUUUUUUUUCCUGAGUAAAAUUAAAAGGAAAGGGAGUAGAAUAAUUAAUCGACUGUUAAGUUAAGUUUUCGUUGUUUAAGUAAAUGUUCAACAAUAUAUAUAUAUAUAUCAUAUAGGAAAGUUGUUAAUUCAGUGCACUUAAUCUAUGAUUAUACUGAUCAUAUACUUUAAGGUUAAUAAUUUCUCGUACCUCCAAAAUUUAUCCCCCAAUGAGGUCAUGUAUUGCUUUAUCAACUUGCUACAGCCUGUCCAUAUUUAUCUCCUUCUCCACAACUCUGUUUAUUCUUUGAUGGGUCACCUGUUGAAACUGCCUCUAGACUUAGCUGUUUUUUAGCAAUUUAAUAUUAUAUCUGUAUGUCAGAGCACCAACUCCAAAAGCUAUAGAUAGUGAAUAACAUAUAUACCCUUCACAAUAUAUUGAAUUAAUUUUUUGUAUCUAUCUGUGUAUCUAUCUAUAUAUUCUUAUUAACCUUCAAUUCUUUUAAAGUAAAUUAUUCACAAAAAAUUUAAAUUUUAGUUAUAUAAAAAAAUUAGAAUUUUUAUUUCAUUGAAUCCAUCAAAAAUUUACUCACGAGAUUUUGCAUGGCUGAUGAGUUUUAAUAGCAAUAUCUAUGUUCAAUCAAGGACACAUAACUGACUUUUUCCAUGUAUGGAUGGUUAGCACAUGAGGUUAGGGUAUGAACCCAUUUUGUAUAUUUGUACAUUUUAUCUUUUAUUUAAUUUUUUUCUAUUAAAUUCAUAUUAUAUCUUGAUACAUAUAAUUUGUGCUAAGAGUGAUAGGACAUAACAUAUAAUUUAAUACGAUCACUACAACAAAUUUGAUUUAAAACAGUACAUUUUUAAAAUGUGCUACUAAAAAUAUUUUCAAAAAAUCUUUGUGUAUGAAGGGUAUAUUUGAAAAGAACCCUUAAUAAAAAAUGGCAAUUGCUAAUAAACAAUUAUGCCAAAUUCAAAACAAUCAAACAAGGACUAGAAAACCGUGCCAUAAGUGCCUAACCAAGCUUUAACAGGUUAAUUAGCUUGUUCCUGGUAUCAAAGGUUACAUGGAACAUGUUAUGCAAACCGAAAAAGAUAUGGUGGAUUAGGAAUAUCUAACUUUAGCUAUAAAAUUUGGCACUCCUUGCGAAAUGAUGGUGGCAAUAUGGCACAAAAAGUGAUGUUCUCUAGAGAUGCUUAAUAAUGAAAAAAUAUGGCAAUGAUCAAUCUAAUUGGCUUCAUCCAUUGCUCGGCCUUCUAAAAUGUCAUCGGCUUAGCCAAGCGUUGUCUAUUAAAUUCAGAUUAUAUCUUGAUACAUAUAAUUUGUUUUAAAAGUGAUAGGAAAUAACAUAUAAUUUAAUACAAUAAGGGAACACAUUUGUUUAGAAAGUCAUAAUGAAUGAGGAUUUAUAUAAAUGGUAGAAUAUUUAUAUUUUUAAACAAUUAAAUGAUCAAUCAAAUGAUAAUAAUAUAUAUUAAAAAAGAAACAUGAGGUGAUUAGCAAUCAACAUUUCACUAAAAAAAAUCAAUUGUUUCCAAUAAUAAGUAAUAAAAAGUUUACUAUAUGUUGUAAUCAAUCAAAACUAUUUCAUUUAUACACUUUGUGAAAGUGGAUUAGUAAUUAAUGAAUAUUAAUAUUUACUAAGAUUGAUAGUUAAUAUUUUCUAAUUAGUGGCUAGAAAAUUAGGUUUUAAGCUUAAUACGUUAUGAAUAAUUAAUUGAUGAUAUGUCUUAAUGAAUGAUUAAAUUUUGACUUAUAUCAUUUUUCCAAUAAAGUAAGAAAGUAUUGGUUGUUGAACGGAUAUAUGUCAAAAUCAAUGUGUUUUCUCCUUUUUACUUUUAUAAUCUUAAAAUGUAUAUAAUUAGUUAUAGUAUACUGUUUUCUACAAAGAUUUUCUUUUGGAUAAAAAAAUUAUUUAAUUUUAGCACUUUUCAUAAAAUUUAUAUCCUUUUUUUAGUAAAAUGCACCAAUCAUCAGUAUUUUUGUAUAAUAUUUUAUGUCAUAUGCCAUGUUAAAACACUCAAUCUUUGGAUCCACAAUUUUUUUUAAAAAUAAUUCCAAAUUCAUUUACAUUCAAUAAUCAUUAAAAAAUUAAAAAAUUAACGAAAUAUAUCACCUCAACAGCUUGUGAACUUCCAUGUAAUAUAAAUCUCAACCCAAAAAUAUCAAAAAAGUACACCGAUUUUUUUUCACAAGAAGAGGCCCAUAUAUUUACAUUGCAUGAGACCAAGAAGGUGCAAUAGGGUCCACAAUGUGUCUAAGAAAGUAUAGUAGGUCCCAAUAUGUGUUAUAUAAAUAUAUAAAUAUAUGCAAUUUUAACAAUUUUAACACAACAUGAGGUACAUGAGGCAAUAGUUACAGAGAGAAUUAUUUCUAAAAUGUGUAGUCUAUUCACCGGGAUAUUCAUGGCUUUUUUGGAAGAUGGAUAGAGUUGAUAAUCGUUUUAUGGUGCAAUCAUUUAGAGUAACAUAUGAUUAGGGGUAUAUAUUGUACUAUUUAAUGAAUACAUCAUUGUCAAAAAAAUUCCAAUCUCUCUUUUUGUUGGCCUAUAUAUGUCCUAAUUCCACAUAAAGCUAUUGGCUAAAUAAUGUGGAUUUUGGGAGCCUACCUUUUCUAAAACAUUACUUCACUUGUAUUAACUAAUUUUCACUUAAUGUCUUAUUUCUCUUUGGAUUUAUUCAUCCAAUGUACACAUAGGUCUUUUAAUUCUUGAAGAUUAAUCUAUAUCAUGGCAUUAUCGACUACAGAUGGCAACAAUAUAUAUACAUGUAUAUAGAAGAGUAAUUAUAGCAAAAACGAAAGAAGCAGCAGCUUUUGUUUCAUUUUUGGUGGACAACAGAAAGGAAAUCCAAAUUCAAACACGGGCAGCAGUUCAGAAUUUUUUUUUUUAUUGAGUAGCUACAUACUCAGACAGGCAGAUUAUGAGGGAAAAGAAAGAGAAAGACUAGCAACAACUAGGAAGCUGUAGCUGAGGUGCCAAAUGCAACAUUUCUUAUUUUGUUGUUUUGUUUUUUGGACAAAGCCUUAUGCAGCAUUUCAAGAUAGGGAAUUAGCCUGACUGUUCUUCCCGAGUAAGGUUUCAUGGUAGAAGAAGCCAUUCACUGACAUGCCCCCAUCGAUGCAAAACGUCUGCCCUGUUAUAUAAGAGGACGCUGGUAGGCACAGGAAUCCCACCAAGGAUGACACUUCCUCUGGCUCUCCAAUGCGUCCCAAUGGAGUUCGAGAGAUAAUAAUCUCUGAAAACUUUUGAAUGUACUGUAAGCAAGGAGAAGGACAACAAUUAUAAAUACUACUACAACACUGAAAACGUUAUACAGUUUGAGGAACAAAAACUUGCAUGCUCUGGUGUAACCUUUCCAACAUUUAUGAAUUCUUGCCAUAGUGGUCCCAGAUUGUAUACUUUUUAACAAUAUGAAAAUCCUAACAAUCAAUAUAUAUACUCAUUUGUUGUGAUUUACACUAUAAUUCUCCUUGGAUAUCCUUUUUGAUUACUCUGAAUGAUAUGAUCAUGCUGAUAAACAUAAAGACUAAAAGCAUGGGGGGAAAAUAUAUAUAUUUUACAUCUUCGGUAAGGGGAGUUUGGAUGAACCAAGGUGCAACAGAGUUGACCCUUAUGUUGUCCUUUGCCCACUCACAUGCCAAGUAUUUUGCAAGGUGGUUCAUGGCUCCU